rnacentral:siRNA from 1 species
UUUGUGGCUAUAACAAAACCA